UACGAAGGGGGCUAGCGUUGCUCGGAAUCACUGGGCGUAAGGCGCACGUAGGCGGCUUCUUAAGUCAGGGGUGAAAUCCUGGAGCUCAACUCCAGAACUGCCUUUGAUACUGAGGAGCUUGAGUCCGGGAGAGGUGAGUGGAACUGCGAGUGUAGAGGUGAAAUUCGUAGAUAUUCGCAAGAACACCAGUGGCGAAGGCGGCUCACUGGCCCGGUACUGACGCUGAGGUGCGAAAGCGUGGGGAGCAAACAGG
rnacentral:rRNA from 1 species